rnacentral:rRNA from 1 species
CCUACGGGUGGCAGCAGUGAGGAAUAUUGGUCAAUGGCCGGAAGGCUGAACCAGCCAAGCCGCGUGAAGGACGAAGGUGCCAAGCAUUGUAAACUUCUUUUGUCAAGGGAUAAAAUCAGGCUCGUGAGCCUGACCGAGGGUACUUUAAGAAAAAGCAUCGGCUAACUCCGUGCCAGCAGCCGCGGUAAUACGGAGGAUGCGAGCGUUAUCCGGAUUUAUUGGGUUUAAAGGGUGCGUAGGCGGACUGUUAAGUCAGGGGUAAAAUGCCCGGGCUCAACCCGGGCGGUGCCUUUAAAACUGGCGGUCUGGAGAUGUGGGGAGGUAUGCGGAAUGCGCGGUGUAGCGGUGAAAUGCUUAGAGAUGGCGCAGAACACCGAUUGCGAAGGCAGCUUACCGAAGGCGAUCUGACGCUGAGGCACGAAAGCGUGGGUAUCGAACAGGAUUAGAUACCCUAGUAGUC